rnacentral:lncRNA from 1 species
AGGGAAAUACAAGGCCUGAGAGGGAGGGGGGACCCGGAGGGGCGCUCCAGGGGCCUCACUGCGAGGGGGAAGGGGAGGCGUGGGGGGUGUUGCUGCUGUUCUGCUGCUUUAAAAUGUCCUUUUUCUUUUCCAUAAGAAACUAGCUGGAGUCCCCGGUGUCGUCCUGGCGUGGGAGGUGGCCUCGCAGCACCAGGCAGGUGAGUGGUGUGAGCAUACCCUGCAGGCUGCCAUCAGUGCUGGGAGUGGGGCUCGCUGCCUCCUUUCCUCAGGGCAGCAGUACUCCGCAGUCCUCCGCUUGCAGGUAUUUCUGAAGGCGGUUCCUGUUCCAGGCGCUACAGAUCCCCUGUAGGAGGAUCCUUGGAUCCCCUGCAGGGGAGGAUUUCCCCCUGGUGGGCCUGUUAAAAUAGUCCCUCCAGUCGUUAAGAUCUGUGAACUCCCCUUAUUUCCUGCUCUUACCAAAAUCAUGUUUAGUUGGGGUAGAAGGAGGAUUUCUCCAGCAUCCUUUGGCCCUAGUGGCAGAACUGAGAANNNNNNNNNNNNNNNNNNNNGGGGAAAUACAAGGCCUGAGCGGGAGGGGGGACCCGGAGGGGCGCUCCAGGGGCCUCACUGCGAGGGGGAAGGGGAGGCGUGGGGGGUGUUGCUGCUGUUCUGCUGCUUUAAAAUGUCUUUUUUUCUCCAUAAGAAACUAGCUGGAGUUCAAGACUGCUGCAGUCCCAGGUGUCGUCCUGGCGUGGGAGGUGGCCUCGCAGCACCAGGCAGGGUUCCUUGGUGUUUGCGAGCUCGCUCAGCUGAUGGCCUGCCUGCCGGGAUGGACUCGAGGAAUUACUCCCGUAGUGGAAGAGGCUGAGAGCUCGUGAGCCCCUCUCCCCCAUGACGGGAAUCAGUUUGCUGAAGGCCGAAAUCACGAGGAAAGUGUGAAGUGGAUUGGGUGAGUGUCUUUGUGAGUGGUCAGCAGACGUUGGGUGGUUUUGAGGGGGAUCUUGACAGUGCUGGCCGAGGGGCAGCUCGGCCUGGCUGCGAGGUGGCCGCCUGUGCUGGAGGCGGCAGCCUGCUGGGGCUCUGCAGGAGGGAACGAUCAGAUUCGUUAGUACGGUCUGUAAUUGGGUGGCCUGAUUCCUUCAGGGCAGAGUCCCUGUGAGAUGAGCUGUCCGUUUCUCCAUCACCAUUCCUCUGAGCACGGCCUGGUCGGUGAUGAUGCCUUUGUUGGGAGACUGCUGGAUGAAUCCUGCGGAUAUGGGGCUGAGGCCAGGCUCCAGCAGGAACUGGAACCCCCGUGCGCUGUGUCAGGCUGAGCUUCAUUCUGACCGGGCUUUCUCUUCCCUCCCCAGGUGUUCGUGGAGCUGAGAGAAGGUUUCAGUCUCAGUAUCCUACUCCCGAAGCAGCCGCGGUUGUGUGUAACGGGACCCUGGCUCCCCGGUGAGCUGUGAGCUCCCCCAGGUGGGAGAGCUGCUGCUGUGCACCAGCCGCUGGGCACCGCAGGCAGCGGGAACCUCCUGGGUUCUGGGUGCUGCUGAAGCUUCCGUUCGUGUGUUCACUGUGGAAGAUUGAUCCCUUCCAGGGAGUUUUCGCAGAAAAAGAGCUUUGGGGGGAGGGUCUGGAAUAUUUGAAAUACUUAAAAUACGUGAAUAUUUGAGGAUGUGUGGAAUAUUGGGAGGGGUGAAUAAAGGCGAUCACUUGAAGCUCUUGCUCUGUCUC